UGCGAUGCUCUGAAGGAUCCUCUGAGGGUUCCUAAUCCAAACUCAGCCACCCUGAUCCACAUGGAUCUGCCUCGACUCCCUGGAGACCAGAUUCACUGUGCAGAUGUCCUGUUUGCUCUGUCCACACAGGUGUUUGGUUUCUCAGGACAGUUGGAGACUCUGAAAGUCAAAAUGGAAGAAAAGUUUGUCAACAACUCGGCAAAGGAGCCGCCUGAACUAGUCAGCAGCACCCUGCAGAGGAAUCAGGAAGAUGUGGAGAUGGCUGUGAUUUAGUGAGCGUACAGGAAACAUGUCCUGCAGCACUGAUGAGACGGAAAAACCAGGACAUUAGUAUGAAAACAGCAGGACUUUAAUCUGAAAACAGCAGGAUGCUCUGAGUUAGAUUGUGAUUAUGUUCUUCAUAAUAAAACUGAACUGAAUAAGACGACUUUAUAGUGAAG